AAAAUAUGAUUAAAUAUUUAUAUAAUAUACUAUAAUUAUAAACGGAAUAUGUAUUUAAGCCAUUGUCCUUGUCGGACAACCUGCUUUCAAGGAUGCUACCUCCUGCGAGGACCACUCAACUUUAGACAAGCCUUUUGUCUCGAUACUAUUGAAAGUUGUCUUGAGGACUAGGAAUGUAGCGGGAGGACGCCUUCAGGGUAUCUGAGGAUGGCAACGACGGAAAAGGACAGGCUGAAAGAAGCCGAAGUAUUUGCCCGCGGCGACGGCGGGGGUUAGACGAUUCUGGACGGCUCUCAGGACUCAUUUGGAGCGAAGUGCAAAAGGAUCGUCGGCACAUCACCGUCGCCAAUGAUGAAACGAAAGACACCGAAGAGUGGUAGUAAAGGGAACGUAGAAGGAAAGAGAGAGAGAGAGAAGUAAAAAAACUUUUUCACAGGAAAAAAACAUCGCAGUUUUCCUAGCCAUUCAUAGCGCCGAUCUUGUUGGCCCCUUCUCACGACUCAUUCAUACCUCACCGCCUAAGAUUCGAUUGUCGAUCCUUACCUGCGCCACCGGCGAAGACACUCGAGCGCCAUUCUUCCCUGACGCUCUCUCUCUAUGUCCACUGGUAUGCAUGCGCCGAACUUUUCGGAUUCCUUGCAGAAGAUUCAUCGACCACUGUCGAUGCUCGCUGUCGAUGUCUUGUUAAUCGCCUAGUUAGCAAAUAUUUCUUCGGACUUCUCGGACCUACUAUCAGAUUAGUCAGAUACCAUUUGUCAUAGGAACUAUUAAUGUUCGCGACUGAAAUCUCUGUAAAAAAUAUUAUGUGUAUUAUUUCAAUAAUUAAGUAGAUAUAUAGACAUAUACGUCUGUGUGUGUUCUAAAAUGUAAUAAAUUUAUUAUAAAAAAGAAUAGCCUUUUAAGAAUUAAAUAGUUUCUUAGAGAUAAUUUCACGGCAAAAACGCUGUUUCUUGAAGCCUAAAUUACACGUCGAAACAUACUUACACUUAUCUUUUUUCCUGCAUCAAGCAAUUAUCCCGUCUUUUCUUAUAGAACACGGGAAUCGUAUCGCGUUCUUCGGCCGUCAAACGCAGCGUAGGAAGAUGGGCUAACGAUCUUAAUGGCUAGGCAAAACAUUGACACCUUGGCGGCGCUCGGACCACCUGGACGAGGAUGCCAAAGAGAAGGCGGGCAGGGAUCGUUAAACACAGGGUCAGCACGAGAGAAGUGGAAAUCCUUAUGAGAAAGUAAGUUGGACGAACGAUGACAACGAGCUAACAGCGUGCGCAAACACGGCGGCUUCGAACAGAGCCGUACCCGGGCCGAUGAUCAUGUACUUACGCGUUUCCUCUCAAACACCGACCAACGUCGACAGCUACGGAGACACGGCAUCGGACACUGAUCAUGGGAAAAGACAAAUCCCGUUUGCUCAAGUUGGAAUGUUCGAGCGAGAAUGCGCGAGCAACACGUGCCGACGAUUGCAGAAUUGCUUCGUUAAUACACUUGUACGAAAGUAAAUAGCGAAAUGCGCACAAGGUAUUCAUAUAAUUGAAAGAGUUUUCGAGCAAACAGGGUUCAUCGCUUAAAAAAUAUCAAACAUAUCUCAUGGUGGCCCAGCAUUGCCUUCUUAAUAAGAUUGUCCGUCUUCGUGUCCAUUUCCUAAAUGCAUAAAGGAAGUGGAAUGGCUGUGAAAAUGACAAGACGUUCCAUUCUGAACGUUCUUUGGUUUAAUAUUAUAUUAUACAACAGGGCGUUCUGAGAGGAAAAGCCCGCCAUAUUCAAUAUCCACAUACAAGGAUAUGAUAGUUUGCAGUUUAUAACUACUUAUACUGCAUUAUUAGAUCUGUUUAUGUACAAACAUAUAUCAAGCGAUCGCGCUAGUUAAUUUGUUAUUUGAACUUGUCGUGGUGUGCGGAACUACUUCUACUCACUGAAAUUCUAGUUUGCGGUUCUGCAUGAUCUUUUUUCCAUCUGUAGCUAUCGAUACAUUCAAUUUUACAAUAAGUUCGCAGACCGCAAGUAGUUUUUUCAUAUCAGUAACUGUUUUUACGUUCCAUGCGUUUCUACAGUUGUACAAGUUGUUGCGAAAAGGGACAGAGAGAUCGGCUGAAAAUAAGCAUAUGAAAGAUAUCAGAUCUGUUCUCAAAAAGCAAUAUUAAUA